AUUGAACGCUGGCGGCAUGCCUUACACAUGCAAGUCGAACGGUAACAGGUCUUCGGAUGCUGACGAGUGGCGAACGGGUGAGUAAUACAUCGGAACGUGCCCGAGAGUGGGGGAUAACGAGGCGAAAGCUUUGCUAAUACCGCAUACGAUCUCAGGAUGAAAGCAGGGGACCGCAAGGCCUUGCGCUCACGGAGCGGCCGAUGGCAGAUUAGGUAGUUGGUGGGAUAAAAGCUUACCAAGCCGACGACCUGUAGCUGGUCUGGGAGGACGACCGGCCACACUGGGGCUGAGACACGGCCCAGACUCCUACUGGAGGCAGCAGUGGGGAAUUUUGAACAAUGUGCGCAAGCCUGAUCCAGCCAUGUCGCGUGCAGGAUGAAGGCCUUCGGGUUGUAAGCGGCUUUUGUACGGAACGAAAAGACUCUGGUUAAUACCUGGGGUCCAUGACGGUACCGUAAGAGUAAGCACCGGCUAACUACGUGCCAGCCGCCGCGGUAAUAC
rnacentral:rRNA from 1 species